AGGGCUUAAAAGAAAAAGUACAGAUAUCAAGAUGGACUGAUUUGACGUGUUUCCUUUCUGAGAGUUGGCCUGAAGUUCUUUAUGGUGGACACCUUCGGGAUGAUCUCUCCGAUAGACCAGAAGAGGGCUUGAAGAUGUCGGAUAAGCACAGACACCCAGUAGUGCGUGAACAAGAUUAACCAGGGGCACCCACUUCUCUACACAUCCAGCACUUGUACAAGGGCAGGCGUUCUAGGUUCUGUGCAGUGUUCUGAGAUGGAAUGAACACGUUGCUGGUCCUCCAAGCUGUUUGACAUGAGAUUUACUCUUAGCUCCAUUUUGGAGACAAAGAACCUGAAGCACAGAGAAGCUAAGAAACGUGUCGAAUCUGCUAGAAGUGCUGUGGCUGCGAUCCAACUCAGGCAUCUUGGGUAGAACAGCUUCCUAUUGCAUUCUUACACAGCACUUCUCAGAACCUGGCACCCAGAGCUGCGUUCCCUAAGCAAUUUUGCUGCCUAACCUAAAGCUCCGAAACUGUAGAGUUAGACAGAUAGGGAUUCAUUUAUCUAUUCAUGAAAUUAUCCUGUUACUCAUGUAUCUAUUAUUAUCAUCCCGUUAUGCAACGGUCUUAAUACUAGCACAAAACAGACAUGGUUUCUGUGACCCUUAGAGACUAUAGAGGUGAUAUACUUAAGCCAUUAUACAAGGAAACAUAAACUCAUCCAUGCUCAUGAGUACUUGGGAGGCGAGGCAUAAGAUGUGACUGUGGGGACUAGAGUGAUAGCUCAGCACUUAAAAACACUGACUGAUGUUCCAGAAGACCCAGGUUGAAGUCUCAGCACCUAGAUAAUGACUCACAACUGCCUACAAAACCAGUUCCAAAGGGUCAGAUGGGUUUUGUUGUUGUUGUUGUUGGCCUCCAUGGGAACCAGGAACACAAGUAGUACACAGACACACAUGCAGGCAAAACACCCAUACACAUACAAUACAGGUUGGGAUUAAGAAGGAUGCUACAAUGUAAGAUUGUAAAGGCCUCCCAGUAGAUCCAUGACCUAGCAGAGAGCAUCAGAUCCUGAAAUAACCACCUCUGAUUAUAUUCUAGGCUCCUCUUAAACACUUUAGUAUUUCAAAAUCUCAAUCCUUGCCUCCAAAAAAUAGGACUAGAGGAUGGUUGGUCUGUGAGUCACCAAGACAGUAACAAAUGCUAGAGGGUAUUCCAGGAUUCCGAGACUGCUGCUGUGUUUCCCAUUGCUGCUGGCUAGCAUCCAGCAGAAAACUGGGUGAAGGGUUGAGAGUGGCAAUAGUCAGACAUUAGGAAUAGGGAAAUACUGAGGACUUCAUUGCUGUAAAAAAAAAUACUGAUUGGAUAGAUUCUACCCUUUUAUUCCAUAAGAUGAAUAAAGCAAGCAAACAAUCUGGAACACAGUGACAUUUGGGGAAGCUAAAGCCCUCCUGGAUUCUGUCAUGAUACCUUCUACUGUGGCAGGGUCUUCUGUCCUUUCCAGUGUUUAAGUGGUCCUUCCAGCUCAAAUCCUAGGCUGGAUCAUCUUCUAACCAGACAUGGCAUUGAGAUAGAGUAGACAAAGACCUGUGAGGUGGCCUGUACCUGAGUGUUCGAGGGCAGUGAUGAGGAACUUAGAGCUAUAGAGGCAAAAGGUACUUCAAAGAUCCUCGCAGGGUUUUUAACCUGAUUGCCUCAGCUUAGGGAGAAAAAAACAGGCAGGCAGCCUGGUGAGUCUGUCCUCUUUGCUGAACUCGAGUUUCUUGGGAGGGAUCUGUCUACCAGGAUUACGUUCUGCCGUGUUUUUCUGGCAGAAGCAUGCUUAUGUGCCCUUAGAGAGAGCACUUCAAAGCUUGCGAAGACACUCCACACUCUGUGUACCAUCCAUCCAUGACAAGAGCCAACCUGGUUGAGGGCUGAGCUUUGGGAACCCUGAGCACACAGCCAGACCAGCAGGCAGGUAGAUCACACACACUUGCUUACCCAGAAUACCAACUCUAUGCCCCUCUACAGGGGAAGAGGGAGAGGCCAUGUGGUGAGGCUCUCUGAAAUCUGGGCAGGGGUCUCUUUGUCUAGGUUAAGUCUAGACUUCAGCUUUAUCCUUCAUUUAAUCUCCAGCUUUGUCUCCAGAGUCCAGAUGAGGCCAGCAGCAUCUUCUAGGGAUUCUGUGCACAAUUUCCCUGCCUCUGGCUACUGCUCAUGGGUACCUCUAGCCCUGGGAUUCUCAUUAGUUGACACAUCGACUCUCCUUUGAUUAAUUGAGAACAAAGCAAAGCAAAGCAAAAUAAAACAAUGUGUCCAGCUUCCUCUUCUUGAUACCUUCUAGGAGAAAUUCUAAAAUGUUAUAGCUGGGGAUGUGGGACAUUGUGUGUAGGCAGUUCCAGGAAGCCCUUGUUAACCCCAAGGGGGGGGGUUGGCAUAUUCUCUCCAAAAGAGGUCAGUUUUCAUUGUUGUUAAGUGAUGGUGGUGGUGUUUUUGUUUUUCUUUCGUCAUAAGAGACAAACAGAAGGUCUCAGGUUUUCAGAAGGAUUCUCCAGGGGUCACCCUUCCAUCUAGGAGUCAAUUGUAUCUGGAUGAUGAUUAAUGAUAACAGAUAUGUAGGCCACUCCUCUUCUAUGCACACAGAUACUGACAGUGGAGGAAUGAGUAGGAGCUACACAAACCACUAAAGGAAUGUGAUAGGCCAAGUAUGGUGGCAUAGGCCUGGAACCCUAAAAUUCAGGAGGUUUAGUCAAGAAGGCUGUGGUUUAAGGUUAGUCUAUGUUAUGCAAGAAGACUCUGCCUAAAAAAAAAACAAAACAAAAAACAAAAACAAACAAACAAACAAAAAACCCAACAUGUAAAGAAGGGAGGGAGAGACUCGAGAAAUGGAGGGGAAAAAGGGAGAAGAGGGGUGAAGAGAGAGACUGAGACAAAGAGAGAGUGAGAGAGCUAGAGAGAGAGAGAGAGAGAACACAGCUUCUCAGACACAAAGACCUAAGGAAGAGUAUGCCCACAGGAAAUGGAGCCUAAGUUCCAGCUAAGAUGCUUCUAAGUAGAGCCCAGCUCCUGAGUCUCCAGUGACCCUUACCACAGUCAAGGACGGAGAGACGUCUGUGCUUACACAGAGGGCCUUCCAUUAGGUCAAACUUAGUCUUAAAAUUGUGCAGCAGAGGGGGUGUCAUUUCCCCCCUCUGACAUACCAAAUGUGUUUGAAAAUAGAAGAUUCUCACGGGCACCUCAGUAAAGCUUUUUACCACCCCUACAAUAUAGCUGUAGAAGAAGCAGCUAUAGAGCAAAAUACAUAAGGCAUGGAAAAGCACACAUCUCACAGGAAACCAAUGCCUACUUCUUCAUCAGGAAAAGAUUCAGAUUGUUUGCCUCAUGACAAGAGACAAAAGGGCCCCUGCCACCCUGUUCUCCUUCCAUCUCAGAGAUAGAAAACACCUCCUUAUUUAGCCCAUGACCUAUGACUGCCGUAUCUAGACUUCAGCUCUAGAAAUAAAAAGGAAGAGAAAAAUAUCUCCAAACAGGUUUUCAAAGAAGGGGGCCCUCUUUCCGCCGCUGUUUGCUGUCACCCUCUUUCUUUUCUGCUUCCUCGUUUCAGCUUGACAUCUCCUCAAACGCUACCUGACAGCCUGCCGCCAUCACCCGUGAAUGUAAGUAAUUUCCUUAUUGACAGCCUCCCAUUCUCUCUGACAUCUGCCAGCACUCUCUGACACUUGAAUAAGUAUAAAGACAUUAACAGUCUGGCGCAGGUUGCAGGGCUGGAAUAGCAAUGUUUGGCAGGCCUACUGCACAGAGCCUGCAAGCAAAGGGACCCCCACUCAUUCAACCCAGUUGUCCUUCUGCCUGGAAGACGCAUUGGAGCCCGGAGUAAAUGCCGAUUACUCGCUCCAGUGCGCUGGCAUUUUGGUGUCUCCUUCGGCAGCCAGAUUGGACAUUAAAGGGAAAGAAACAAACACACACACACACACACACACACACACACACACGCCUGUUUCUGAGGCAGCAUGAGGAGCCAGCCAGAUGACGAGGCUCAGGUCACUGUUUUGUGGGGUGAGUUAGUAUUUUAAACGGGUUGGUUUAGAAAAAAAGGGGGGGGGCAAAAUCAAGCUCCCCUAACUUCCACACUGAACGUUUGCAUCAGACUUCCUUCUGAUAAUAGCAGGUUCGUCCCACAUACUAGAGCUGACAAACGCCAUAUUCACGCCAAGGAAUUUUGAAAGCAAAUAUGUCACAUUAAUGAUGAUGACGAUGACGACGACGACGAAGAUGGUCAGAAAAUGAUUAGGAAAGAACACCCUGGCAGCCUUUGUUGCUAGAAUCUGCUCAUGGGCAAAUGGCAAAGCUAUUCACAUGGAAGACAUUAAACCAUCAACACCAAGAGGAUGAGACAGCUGCAGCUGAGAUUGGAAGCUGACUGUGCACAGGGUGCACUGUCAUUUCUUCUGCAAAGCACCGUAGUAUUCCUGUUUGAUCUGAGCCUGGGGUCACUGUGUCAGGACUGCCGGUGAAGAAGAGAAAGUAACUCACAAAGAAAAAUGACACGUUCUCCAGGAUCACACAGGGUAUCCAGUGCACACAUCUGAAGAUUCCUCUCCUGCCAGCCCUUAGAGUGAAUCUGUGAAUGUGGCUGUUCUGAGAUUACCACCAUAUCAAGCUUGGGCAUCCUUUCUUACACUCAGCUCUGUUUCUAGCUCAUCUUGCCUCUCACAGUGCAACUAAGAGCAAGCUCCGUACGCUGCUUUCACCGUACCUUAAGGAAACCCUCCACGGCCCUGUCUAUCUUCCUGCUGAAGUUGACUAAGGUCAGCCACAGUGGGGAAUGAGAUCUGCUUCUUCCUCCACUCGUGUGCACCUUAGCUUUGCAGCCCCCCUCCCCUGCUGCCUUCUUUGGGUGCUCGGUAGAAUGCCGACUCCAGUUGACCCCUUGAUCACCGAGACGUCCCCACUCAUAGACUGAUGCUCUGUUUAUCAUAAGGGGUCACUAAAUAUUUGCUAAAUGAGUGGAUGAAAUUAUUUCACCAAGGAUACACUGAAAGACUUAAAUCUCCUUCCACAUUUCCUAAAAAUGUUCUUCUUUUUUGUUAAUGAGAAACUUCUGAAUAAGGAUUCUUAUGAUUUGUUAUAUUUUAUGCUUCUUUUUUAACUUAUGUAUUUAUUUGCUAUGUUGAGGGUUGAACCCAUUGCCUCCAGCUUGCUAGGCAAAUCCUCUUCCAUGGAACAACGUCCCCAUGCCCAAAACUUGCUAUGUUUUAAAGUUGCCAUCUGUCAAGUCAGGGUUUUAAAUGUCUAUGAAGCAAUUGCAUUUAACUCUGCUAUUCAAAGAUAAUAACAGAAUUUAUAGAAAUUUAAUUCUUAGUGUUGGGACACCAACUUAACAUAGGGUGGCAAAUGACUCUUUGCUCUGGCCAGUUGAUGCCUAGCUGAGACAAAAGUAUUAAGGUGUCAGAGGCUCCUCCCGCAUGGGACCCAGAGACUGAGGCUCUGCUAUCUGCUGCAAGCUGUAAGACACUACAUGCUUGCAUUCCCUUCCUUUCUAUCAAGGUACUCACCAUACGCCCAACCUGGCCUUCAAGGAUUCAACCCAGUCCUCCCCUCCCAUGCUUUCAUAGGACUCCCUAGGCACAACAUUUUUCUCAUUGGUGAAGCUUCUCAUAACAAUUUAACAUGUUAAGAUAUGAUUUGUCCUAUGCAUGUUUGGUGUACUGGUCUUCACUGGUUUAUGAGAGAAGGGUCCAUCAUCCUUCUCUCUGAGCUCAGUCUGCCUCCUGCUUUGUAGCACUGAAUGCCCACAGAUGCUCACAACGUACUUUCUUGAAUAAAUAAACAGCUCUGUCAAUGCAGGUAGACAUAACAGAUGGCUGGCGUGUUGGCAUGAGGCAUGAGGCUGCCUGGCCCGUUAGCGAAGCGGGCGAGAGGGGCAGUUCGCAUCUGUUGGAGGGCUAGCAGGGGAAGGCCGCAGAUACGGAGGUAGGCAGGGCUGAGGAAGGCUGUAGAUAUGGAGAUAGGUGGGGCUGGAGAUUGGGGUGGUAUGGGUACAUUGCUGGGAUUCAUAGCAACUCUGCCUCUUGUUUCUCAUCCCAGGCAACUAGAGGUGUUUUUUUCCUAUAUCACAGCUCGGUAUUAAGACCAAAGGAGAAAUGAACUUUGAAGUGGUGGCCCCAUUGUUGUAGAUAGCAAUAUUGUUCUACAUAACUUGUUUGUGGUUCGUGUUGCUCACAUGAACAUUCGGACGCACAUCUGCCACGGACCCGUAAUGAGUUAUAAACUGAGAAACCUGAGCGUCAUACCUUUUCCUAUUCCUCAUAUUUCCAAGGCUGGAGUUCUCAGACUAUUGGACACAGCUGGGCAAUCAAGAGGACUUGAAAAAGAACACUAAUCUAUUUGAUAAGAGCUCCACCCCACGGCCUGACCACCUCCCAAGGGCUCUCCGACGGGUGACAUUUCAUCUCAUGGAAGGAACUCGAACUUUCAGUCACUGUGACUCUUCUGGUUGUUGUCCCCUGGUUUGUUAGACUCUUGUCAUCAGCACCGAGCUUACCGGUGUGACUUUACGAAGUGACAUGCCAUGACUAGACAGAAGCUUCCAGUGAGUGCACGGAUUUUUCUUCUAUAAAAAAUGGAAUAUCUCAAACAGCAAGCAGGUCCUCGGUCCUCAGUGGAAACCAUCAGGGCAAGUGUACAAUGACCUAGGUUCUAACUUCCUCAUUUGCACUGGCUUGUCUUAAAGGGAAAAGCCACAUCCCUGGACUCGCUGAGGUGGUCUGUCAGAUGCGAUAACCUGGCUAGGAGCGGGAAACACAAGUUUCAACUGAAAUCUGCUCCAGAUUUUAAUCAUGGUCAUGGGCCCUUUUCUGGGGCUAUUUCACUACAGAUACCUGUUAAAAUUUAUUCCAGUUUAAGGAAGUUUCUGUAUCUAUAGUCAAGGAAAUUCUGGAAUCUUUCUUAUAAGUGAGUAUCAGUAAUGUCACUUGCAGAACAGGGCUGCCAGGAGCCUCAGCUUCUUGCUCAUUGCUGUCUUCACAGGGCUAAGGUUAAUCCUCAGCCGUGGCCAGCCUUCUAGGUAAUGGCGUUUUUAUAGGAUCUUGAAAGAUGACUCUUUAAAAUUAUUUUAUUUCCUCUAACUUAAGGUACAGUGCUCUUGCCCAGAAGGAAACAGUCAUUUCCUAGGAAAAGGGAAACCACACUUCCUGGGGAUGUGACAGCCUCUUUGUCUACCAGCUACUCCUUUGACUGUAAGGGCAGAAAACGAAAAGCAGGUGCCAUCUGAAGGGAAUGAUCCAGGCUAUGGCUCGCAGUAGGCAGAGCUCAGGCUGAGAAGCAAAGCCCAGGCUGGCUUCCAGCCAGGUGACCCUGUCACUCAUUCCUCUAGGUUUGGAUUUCCCCAUAUGUGCCAAUAAAGGAUCUGCAAACCCCU